UUUAGUGCCAACAAUUCCUCUUGAGCUGUGGACUUUAAAAGUUAGAGCAGCAAGUAUUCUUACCAGAUAAAAAAAGCGAUAAAUAGAAAAGGCCAAGCCCUGCAGAAGCCUGGAGAAAAUAGCUGAGGGAGAAAAGAGAGGAGAGCAGAGAAGAGGGAAAACAUGCAAAGAAGCAGAAGGCAUCUGAGCCAAAAUGCAAACUUGAUGGUGGUGUCCAAUUACUGAAGACAUAACAUACUUUAUUCACUGUACAUGGAGAAAACAACCUGGUACCAACCUGGAAGCCUCAUCACUUUUGGUUUGGUUUUUAUGAUGCUAGAAGGAUAUAUGCACACUAUGGAAGAAAAAGUGAUUAACAGUUUUACCCAGCUGUGAACCCUGAGAGCUACAAUAAGGACUUUCCUAGGAUGACAUGACCACUGGUGCAACA